rnacentral:rRNA from 1 species
AGAGUUUGAUCAUGGCUCAGAUUGAACGCUGGCGGAAUGCUUUACACAUGCAAGUCGAGCGGCAGCGCGGGGCAACCUGGCGGCGAGCGGCGAACGGGUGAGUAAUGCAUCGGAACAUGUCCAUGUCGUGGGGGAUAGCCCGGCGAAAGCCGGAUUAAUACCGCAUAAGCCCGAGAGGGGAAAGCGGGGGACCGCAAGGCCUCGCGCGAUUGGGUUGGCCGAUGUCCGAUUAGCUAGUUGGCGGGGUAACGGCCCACCAAGGCGAUGAUCGGUAGCUGGUCUGAGAGGAUGAUCAGCCACACUGGGACUGAGACACGGCCCAGACUCCUACGGGAGGCAGCAGUGGGGAAUUUUGGACAAUGGGGGAAACCCUGAUCCAGCCAUUCCGCGUGAGUGAAGAAGGCCUUCGGGUUGUAAAGCUCUUUUGUCCGGAACGAAACGGUGGACGUGAAUAUCGUCCGCUACUGACGGUACCGGAAGAAUAAGCACCGGCUAACUACGUGCCAGCCGCCGCGGUAAUAC